ACAAUUUAUCUCCUAGUGUGCAAGUUCCUCCCCUGGUUCCUCAUUGGCUGAGCACUGCAGAGGUUACAGCCUGGCCCAGAUGUCGCCUAUGCCCAUGGAAGGCAAAAAGUAGUCCGAUUGAACGAGUGUACCUUCCCCAUGGUGACACAGAGACUUCAGUUCUUUGGUGCAUCCUCAUUGCAAAGUCCGCAAAAAAUAAGCCCGUGAAACGGGGGGGGGGGGGGGAGAAGAAACCGGAAGUGAAGUGUCUAAGGGCGUGGGGACCAUCCUGGUGGGGGGGGAGGGGUUCAUGCAUAUUUCCACUAUGUUGUAAACCUACUGUCAACCAGACAGCACAGCUUUUAUUUGGUAUUUCUGAAAAUGAAUCAUCUCCCUUACUUCUCACAGAAUGGAAUCAGUCUGGAAUG